GAUGAAGAACGUAGCGAAAUGCGAUACGUAAUGUGAAUUGCAGAAUUCAGUGAAUCAUCGAGUCUUUGAACGCACAUUGCGCCCCCUGGUAUUCCGGGGGGCAUGCCUGUCCGAGCGUCAUUGCUGCCCUCAAGCCCGGCUUGUGUGUUGGGUCUCGUCCCCCUUCCCGGGGGGACGGGCCCGAAAGGCAGCGGCGGCACCGCGUCCGGUCCUCGAGCGUAUGGGGCUUUGUCACCCGCUCUGUAGGCCCGGCCGGCGCUUGCCGAUCAACCAAAACUUUUUUCCAGGUUGACCUCGGAUCAGGUAGGGAUACCCGCUGAACUUAAGCAUAUCAAUAAGCGGAGGG
rnacentral:misc_RNA from 1 species